UACGAAGGGGGCUAGCGUUGUUCGGAAUUACUGGGCGUAAAGGGCGCGUAGGCGGCGCAUCAAGUCAGGCGUGAAAGCCCCGGGCUCAACCUGGGAACCGCGCUUGAGACUGGUGGGCUAGAGUUCGGGAGAGGAUGGUGGAAUUCCCAGUGUAGAGGUGAAAUUCGUAGAUAUUGGGAAGAACACCGAUGGCGAAGGCAGCCAUCUGGACCGACACUGACGCUGAGGCGCGAAAGCGUGGGGAGCAAACAGG
rnacentral:rRNA from 1 species